rnacentral:rRNA from 1 species
UGGGGAAUAUUGCACAAUGGGCGCAAGCCUGAUGCAGCAACGCCGCGUGAACGAUGAAGGUCUUCGGAUCGUAAAGUUCUGUUGCAGGGGAAGAUAAUGACGGUACCCUGUGAGGAAGCCCCGGCUAACUACGUGCCAGAAGCCGCGGUAAUACGUAGGGGGCUAGCGUUAUCCGGAUUUACUGGGCGUAAAGGGUGCGUAGGUGGUCUUUCAAGUCGGUGGUUAAAGGCUACGGCUCAACCGUAGUUAGCCUCCGAAACUGGAAGACUUGAGUGCAGGAGAGGAAAGUGGAAUUCCCAGUGUAGCGGUGAAAUGCGUAGAUAUUGGGAGGAACACCAGUAGCGAAGGCGGCUUUCUGGACUGCAACUGACACUGAGGCACGAAAGCGUGGGUAGCAAACAGG